rnacentral:rRNA from 1 species
GCAAGAUCUAAAUACCCUGAAAGCACUAAAUCACAUUCUGAUCUUGGAAGCUAUGCAGAGUCAACCCUGGUUAGUACUUGGAUGGGAGACCACAAAUGAAUACCAGGUGCUAAAAGCU